GGGUUUACCAUGCGCGCAGCUGAUGCAGCCAUGCCGCGUGUGUGAGAGCUUCGGGUUGUAAGCACUUUCGUAGGAGGAGGUGCUGCAUAUACGUAGGGAUUGACGUUACCUAGCAAAAGCACGGCUUAUCCGUGGCAGCAGGCGCGGUAUA
rnacentral:rRNA from 1 species